rnacentral:rRNA from 1 species
GAUCAUGGCUCAGGACGAACGCUGGCGGCGUGCCUAAUACAUGCAAGUCGAACGAGAACGACCGGUGCUUGCACUGGUCAAUCUAGUGGCGAACGGGUGAGUAACACGUGGGUAACCUGCCCAUCAGAGGGGGAUAACAUUCGGAAACGGAUGCUAAAACCGCAUAGGUUCUUUAGUCGCAUGACUGAAGAAGGAAAAGAGGCUUCGGCUUCUGCUGAUGGAUGGACCCGCGGUGCA